rnacentral:rRNA from 1 species
GACGAACGCUGGCGGCGUGCUUAACACAUGCAAGUCGAGCGGAAAGGCCCUUUCGGGGGUACUCGAGCGGCGAACGGGUGAGUAACACGUGAGUAAUCUGCCCUGGACUCUGGGAUAGCCACCGGAAACGGUGAUUAAUACCGGAUAUGACACCUUGCUGCAUGGUGGGGGGUGGAAAGUUUUUUCGGUCCAGGAUGUGCUCGCGGCCUAUCAGCUUGUUGGUGAGGUAAUGGCUCACCAAGGCUUUGACGGGUAGCCGGCCUGAGAGGGUGACCGGUCACACUGGGACUGAGACACGGCCCAGACUCCUACGGGAGGCAGCAGUGGGGAAUAUUGGACAAUGGGCGGAAGCCUGAUCCAGCAACGCCGCGUGAGGGAUGACGGCCUUCGGGUUGUAAACCUCUUUCAGUACCGACGAAGCGAAAGUGACGGUAGGUACAGAAGAAGGACCGGCCAACUACGUGCCAGCCGCCGCAGUAACAC